rnacentral:tRNA from 1 species
GAAACCAACCCAAGUGGAAGAGCGUAUCGCUGGCAGCGAUGCGCUUAGGGGUUCGAUCCCCCUAGGCUCCACCA